rnacentral:rRNA from 1 species
CACGUAGGGCGCGAGCGUUGUCCGGAAUUAUUGGGCGUAAAGAGCUCGUAGGUGGUUUGUUACGUCCGCUGUGAAAACCUAGGGCUUAACCCUGGGCUUGCAGUGGAUACGGGCAGACUAGAGGUAGGUAGGGGAGAAUGGAAUUCCUGGUGUAGCGGUGAAAUGCGCAGAUAUCAGGAGGAACACCGGUGGCGAAGGCGGUUCUCUGGGCCUUACCUGACACUGAGGAGCGAAAGCGUGGGGAGCAAACAGG